AAUCACUUUCCCCUCCUCACCACGCGACGCCGCCUUCUCCUCUCGGGCGAAAAAGGGGCGACGGCGCUAGGGCUCGUUUCCGGCGGCCGGCGAGGACUUCUUUCCGGGAGUUGUUCGCGGAUUCGUGGUCUCCUCGUCAAGGAGAACACGCGGAUAGGAAGGGAUCGCCGAAACCUUCACCUCAUCCGAACCCUAGGUCUCUUUCUCCGGUUGUAAGUCCAAGAACCCAUUGUAUGGAUAAAAAUAAAGGAAAAACUAAAGUGGUGUAGAAGAAGGCGACAAGGAGACGUUGAUGAUGUGUGUGUGGGAGGCUGAUAUGGAAGCUUGGGACCUUGCUAGAAGAAAUUAGAAAUCGUGCCUGCUGGGGUUUUUGUUACUGCUAGAGUAGAAUUUAUCUUGCAUUACUAACUUCGUUAUCUUCCUAUCAUUUAGUUGGAUUAACUGUUUAUGCUGGGAACAUGUUCUUCCCCUUAUUUCUGGAUUAGUUUUCAAGUUUGUGAAGUGAAUUCUGCUUUAAUAAGAAUCUGCCGUAUGAUUCAUCUUAA